AUGGGGGGAACCCUGACCGAGCAACGCCGCGUGAGUGAAGAAGGUUUUCGGAUCGUAAAGCUCUGUUGUUAAGGAAGAACGAGUGUGAGAAUGGAAAGUUCAUGCUGUGACGGUACUUAACCAGAAAGGGACGGCUAACUACGUGCCAGCAGCCGCGGUAAUACGUAGGUCCCGAGCGUUGUCCGGAUUUAUUGGGCGUAAAGCGGGCGCAGGCGGUUAG
rnacentral:rRNA from 1 species